CCAGUGUGGUGUGAUAUUAUGGAUGCUAUUAGAGGUGUUAGGAUAGUUACAUAGAUUUGUGGGUGAACUAUUCCUCUAAUAUCUAGUCAUUUGGCCUCUCAAGUAAAUGUCUUGUGAUUUAAGAAUGUUUAGAUAUUUGUACUGGACAACAAGACAAAAAUACUGUGUAAGAAUUCAUUCUUUACAGUGUAUAAUUAUAAACCUGAGAAAUAUCCACUGCAUUUAAGUGUGACAACUAGCCCCGCUUUAUAUACUUUCCCACCACCAGAGAAGUACAUACAAAUUGGGACGAGCGCUUCAGAGAAUAUUAACCUGGAUAAUAAACUUCUCUUUGAAUUCCAUCAGGUUCCUGUGAGACACGUCGUUUUUUGAAGGCAGAUCUUUGAGGCACAAAGGACUGAACUAUGUAUGCUGAGAUCUGAAAACCCAUGCAGCACCACAGCAGAGAACGAGAACAUGCGGGUGGCCCGUUCCCCUCCCACCGACACAUCUGUACUGGGUCCCGCUGGUAGUUCUGGUGUGCCACGUUGCAGUGUACGAUGGGUUCUUGACCAGUCAUCUUAGGGGCAGCAAUAUGGCAAUCAGAUGUUUGAGCUGUAGAAGAUAGAGGCGGUGUUUGUUACACCAGGGAUCAUUCGCAUCUGAGUGCAGACAAUCAGGUUGUCAAGCCUUCAGUUUCAUGCUGAGUCUGUUAAUUGGCUCUCCAGUUCACACACAGUCUUCGUUCUUCUCUCCGAAGGUAAUGGAGAUGGUCUUCACAGAAAAGAAGAUACUGUAAUUGAGCUCAAUCACUCAUAGACAUCCAACGGUCAAUCAGUGGAGGCUUCUUUGGAGACCUGGAAUAUGUUGGCCUCAUCAAUACCAACUGUGGGAAGAGCUCAAUUCUCUGUGGUGUUUUAAGAUGCUGAUAAAAUGAUAAUGAUCCCGGGAAGAGACUGCCGCUAAUGCAAAAGAAAUGGAGGGAAUCAGUCAAGAACAGAUUACAUGCUGGAGGAGGAAUUGAGAAGGAGAUGAGAAAUGGAUGUGUGCUGGAAGUGGGAAAGGAAUGGCUUGGGGAGGAGGAAAAUCUCCGAAUGAUGAAUUCAUAUGUCAGAGGUAAGAUAGGUAACAGGUUACAGAAGAGAUUCGCUUUUCAAAACGCAGUACGCCACGAUCCGAUUUGUGCAGAUCGGGUGAAAUGUUUAAGCUCAUACACAAAACCACCAGUCACAGGAAGUGUGGAGUGAUUUGUGACUCUGUCUGGGAAAUAUGAGUUAAUUCGAGAGAGAUAAUAGCAGUUUACACCUCACUAGGCAUCAGCCAGUUCCCAAAUUGCUUCAUAAAUGGUAACAAAUGAACCCAUGAACUGCUAAAACAAUUCAGAGGUUUUUUCUGAAGUAUGUGGAGAUCUUCUAUAGCAUGUGGCAUAUAUCACUGUGUUGUCUUGGUAAUGACAUCAUAAUGACUCUCUUAAAGGAAUAGUUCUCCUCAUUUUAUUACAUAUGACUUUCUUUCUUUUAUUUUUUAUUUUUCUUUCUUUUUGGGACACAAAAUAAUCUCUCGCUUGCUCUUUUUCACACAAUGACAAAAAAAGUAUUCUUCUAUGAAUUGGGCAACAUAUUCCAAGUCUGCAGAGGACAUAUGAUGGUUUCGCGUGAAGAACAGGCCAAAGAUUAGGUUGUUCAGAACAUCCUUGUUUUGUUGCAAAUUUUGUCAUUCCAUGCCAUUAAUGGCAUUCUUUCUUUUGUGGAGUGCAAAAAGAGAUGCCACACAAAAUG